GAAGCGACCUCGCGAGAGCAAGCGGACCUCAUAAAGUGCGUCGUAGUCCGGAUUGGAGUCUGCAACUCGACUCCAUGAAGUCGGAAUCGCUAGUAAUCGUGGAUCAGAAUGCCACGGUGAAUACGUUCCCGGGCCUUGUACACACCGCCCGUCACACCAUGGGAGUGGGUUGCAAAAGAAGUAGGUAGCUUAACCUUCGGGAGGGCGCUUACCACUUUGUGAUUCAUGACUGGGGUGAAGUCGUAACAAGGUAACCGUAGGGGAACCUGCGGUUGGAUCACCUCCUUACCUUAAAGAAGC
rnacentral:rRNA from 2 species